rfam:Larimichthys crocea isolate SSNF unplaced genomic scaffold scaffold141, whole genome shotgun sequence.
GGUAGUGUGGCCGAGUGGUCUAAGGCGCUGGAUUUAGGCUCCAGUCUCGAUGGAGGCGUGGGUUCAAAUCCCACCACUGCCA